rnacentral:rRNA from 1 species
AUGUCCCGAACCCCGCAGAAUGCUGAUAUUUCUGGUGAGUCUAUGGAUGCUUUGUCACCAAGAAAGUCCGAAGACACGUUUGAGAGUUUCCCGGCAGAGAGCAACAUAGGUAAUGGUGAAGGCAGUCAGGAAAAUGAUGAUCUGUUUGCAUCGUCACCACAUUCAAUUCUAGCAAGUUCUCUUAAUAUGACUCCGGAUCACAUAAAGGCAGCCAGAGUUUUUGUUGAGACUCUAGCAUCGACAAAGAAGCAUACUUUUCGGACGACGAUUACAAUGCCGCCACCAGAUGGGGACAUAUGCAUGCCAUCUAUGCUUCACGAUGUCCUGACGUUUAAAUGGUUGCAUGGCGCUAUCAUCAAUGCAUAUUGUAAACACCUACAACACCAUGAUUUUUCUGAUCGUUACAUAUCAACAACGUGGUUCCCCAAAUUUAUGUUGAGUAGGGCAAGGGGAGAGACCAAGUCAGUAAAUGAUUUAGACUCAGAACAUGUUACAAAGAAAACAAAAGUCAUCGCAAGAGUAAUGGAUGAGUAUUUCAGACGGGACAAGGCGUAUUUUCCUAUGCACGUUAAUGAUAAUCAUUGGAUAACCAUAGUGAUGCACACCGUCAAGGAGGAGUUUCAAGUUCUUGACUCAAAUUCUAAAGGCGCAAUUAGCCAAAGAAUUCGCAAUAUGAUUGCCACCCUGAGAGCUGAAAUUUCUAAGGAUAUUAUGGAGGCCAACUCAACUCUUGAAUCAAAAAAAUAA